rnacentral:rRNA from 1 species
UACGUAGGGUGCAAGCGUUAAUCGGAAUUACUGGGCGUAAAGCGUGCGCAGGCGGUGAUGUAAGACAGGUGUGAAAUCCCCGGGCUUAACCUGGGAACUGCAUUUGUGACUGCAUCGCUGGAGUGCGGCAGAGGGGGAUGGAAUUCCGCGUGUAGCAGUGAAAUGCGUAGAGAUCGGCAGGAACACCCAGGGGGAAACCAGUCGACUGGGCAUCUACUGACGCUGAGGUGCGAGAGCGUGGGGAGCGAACCGG